rnacentral:rRNA from 1 species
UAACUCCGGGAAACCGGGGCUAAUACCGGAUGCUUGAUUGAACCGCAUGGUUCAAUUAUAAAAGGUGGCUUUUAGCUACCACUUACAGAUGGACCCGCGGCGCAUUAGCUAGUUGGUGAGGUAACGGCUCACCAAGGCAACGAUGCGUAGCCGACCUGAGAGGGUGAUCGGCCACACUGGGACUGAGACACGGCCCAGACUCCUACGGGAGGCAGCAGUAGGGAAUCUUCCGCAAUGGACGAAAGUCUGACGGAGCAACGCCGCGUGAGUGAUGAAGGUUUUCGGAUCGUAAAACUCUGUUGUUAGGGAAGAACAAGUACCGUUCGAAUAGGGCGGUACCUUGACGGUACCUAACCAGAAAGCCACGGCUAACUACGUGCCAGCAGCCGCGGUAAUACGUAGGUGGCAAGCGUUGUCCGGAAUUAUUGGGCGUAAAGCGCGCGCAGGCGGUUUCUUAAGUCUGAUGUGAAAGCCCCCGGCUCAACCGGGGAGGGUCAUUGGAAACUGGGGAACUUGAGUGCAGAAGAGGAGAGUGGAAUUCCACGUGUAGCGGUGAAAUGCGUAGAGAUGUGGAGGAACACCAGUGGCGAAGGCGACUCUCUGGUCUGUAACUGACGCUGAGGCGCGAAAGCGUGGGGAGCGAACAGGAUUAGAUACCCUGGUAGUCCACGCCGUAAACGAUGAGUGCUAAGUGUUAGAGGGUUUCCGCCCUUUAGUGCUGCAGCAAACGCAUUAAGCACUCCGCCUGGGGAGUACGGUCGCAAGACUGAAACUCAAAGGAAUUGACGGGGGCCCGCACAAGCGGUGGAGCAUGUGGUUUAAUUCGAAGCAACGCGAAGAACCUUACCAGGUCUUGACAUCCUCUGACAACCCUAGAGAUAGGGCUUCCCCUUCGGGGGCAGAGUGACAGGUGGUGCAUGGUUGUCGUCAGCUCGUGUCGUGAGAUGUUGGGUUAAGUCCCGCAACGAGCGCAACCCUUGAUCUUAGUUGCCAGCAUUCAGUUGGGCACUCUAAGGUGACUGCCGGUGACAAACCGGAGGAAGGUGGGGAUGACGUCAAAUCAUCAUGCCCCUUAUGACCUGGGCUACACACGUGCUACAAUGGGCAGAACAAAGGGCAGCGAAGCCGCGAGGCUAAGCCAAUCCCACAAAUCUGUUCUC